rnacentral:rRNA from 1 species
UGGAUCCAGACUUUGAUUCUGGCUCAGGAUGAACGCUAGCUACAGGCUUAACACAUGCAAGUCGAGGGGAAACGACAUUGAAAGCUUGCUUUUGAUGGGCGUCGACCGGCGCACGGGUGAGUAACGCGUAUCCAACCUGCCCACCACUUGGGGAUAACCUUGCGAAAGUAAGACUAAUACCCAAUGACGUCUCUAGAAGACAUCUGAAAGAGAUUAAAGAUUUAUCGGUGAUGGAUGGGGAUGCGUCUGAUUAGCUUGUUGGCGGGGUAACGGCCCACCAAGGCUACGAUCAGUAGGGGUUCUGAGAGGAAGGUCCCCCACAUUGGAACUGAGACACGGUCCAAACUCCUACGGGAGGCAGCAGUGAGGAAUAUUGGUCAAUGGACGAGAGUCUGAACCAGCCAAGUAGCGUGCAGGAUGACGGCCCUAUGGGUUGUAAACUGCUUUUAUAAGGGAAUAAAGUGAGUCUCGUGAGACUUUUUGCAUGUACCUUAUGAAUAAGGACCGGCUAAUUCCGUGCCAGCAGCCGCGGUAAUACGGAAGGUCCGGGCGUUAUCCGGAUUUAUUGGGUUUAAAGGGAGCGUAGGCCGGAGAUUAAGCGUGUUGUGAAAUGUAGAUGCUCAACAUCUGCACUGCAGCGCGAACUGGUUUCCUUGAGUACGCACAAAAUGGGCGGAAUUCGUGGUGUAGCGGUGAAAUGCUUAGAUAUCACGAAGAACUCCGAUUGCGAAGGCAGCUCACUGGAGCGCAACUGACGCUGAAGCUCGAAAGUGCGGGUAUCGAACAGGAUUAGAUACCCUGGUAGUCCGCACGGUAAACGAUGGAUGCCCGCUGUUGGUCUGAAUAGGUCAGCGGCCAAGCGAAAGCAUUAAGCAUCCCACCUGGGGAGUACGCCGGCAACGGUGCAACUCAAAGGAAUUGACGGA